rnacentral:rRNA from 1 species
GACGAACGCUGGCGGCGUGCCUAAUACAUGCAAGUAGAACGCACAGUUUAUACCGUAGCUUGCUACACCAUAGACUGUGAGUUGCGAACGGGUGAGUAACGCGUAGGUAACCUGCCUGGUAGCGGGGGAUAACUAUUGGAAACGAUAGCUAAUACCGCAUAAUAUUGAUUAUUGCAUGAUAAUUGAUUGAAAGAUGCUAUUGCAUCACUACCAGAUGGACCUGCGUUGUAUUAGCUAGUAGGUGAGGUAACGGCUCACCUAGGCGACGAUACAUAGCCGACCUGAGAGGGUGAUCGGCCACACUGGGACUGAGACACGGCCCAGACUCCUACGGGAGGCAGCAGUAGGGAAUCUUCGGCAAUGGACGAAAGUCUGACCGAGCAACGCCGCGUGAGUGAAGAAGGGUUUCGGAUCGUAAAGCUCUGUUGUAAGAGAAGAACGGGUGUGAGAGUGGAAAGUUCACACUGUGGCGGUAUCUUACCAGAAAGGGACGGCUAACUACGUG